AUUGAACGCUGGCGGCAGGCCUAACACAUGCAAGUCGAGCGGAGAGGCGGACGGGGGAGUAAUGCCUAGGAAUCUGCCUGGUAGAGGGGGAUAACGUCCGGAAACGGGCGCUAAUAACGCAAACUAACGGAUGAGUCUCGGCCGGAUUAGCUAGGUGGUGGGGUAAAGGCCUACCAAGGCGACGAUCCGUAACUGGUCUGAGCGGAUGAUCAGUCACACUGGAACUGGGCCACGGUCCGGACUCCUACGGGAGGCAGCAGAGGGGAAUAUUGGACAAUGGGCGAAAGCCUGACCCAGCCAUGCCGCGUGUGUGAAGAAGGUCUUGGGAUGGUAAAGCACUUUAAGUUGGGAGGCGGUACCAACAGAAUAAGCACCGGCUAACUGCGUGCCAGCAGCCGCGGUAAUAC
rnacentral:rRNA from 1 species